CUCCCAGAGCCCCUGGAACUCUGGCCCAAGGCUCUCUGACUGACUCCCUCCCAGAUCUUCUCGGCUUAGCAGCUGAAGACUGACACUGCCCGAUCACCUUGGAAGCCCCCUAGACCAUCAUGGAUGCCGAGCUUCAGGUAACUCUCACAGUGGAAGAUGUCUCCCUGGAAUUCUAAACCUCAUAAGGAAAGAAGCUGUGCUGGGAAAGACAGGAAGGAAGCACAGAGAAAAGCAAAUGAACACAAACUGUUGGAGAGGAAAAGCCACUAUUGAAGAGGCUGCCAGGAAAUAUGAGAGACUUUCCCUACCCCGAUGCUAUGAUUUUUGUCCUAGUUUGAACUGUACCCAGA
rnacentral:lncRNA from 1 species